AAAAAGAACACGUCCCAAGAAUUCGAAUCCGAUAAAUUUGGACUCAUCCCUGUAGUAAUUUCCAAUCUCUCUCUCUCUCUCUCUCUCUCUGGAAUUGGCUCUGAAUCUGUGUCUUGAUUCUUCAACGACCGGAAAGGGUUGAUCUAGUAGAUUGAGAGGAUUGGUCUGUCAGAAUUGGCAUUACUCAGUCGUGAUCAGUUGGUUUAUAGCCUGGAAUCGGGCAUUAUUUGGAAGAAUACUUCUAGAUUUUUCUCUUUUUUGUGUUUUUUUAAUUGGAUAGUUGAUCCAUUGGUGGACAUUGAAACUUGGGGAUCUGAAUUUUGUAUCUCACAUUUGUUUAUGGUUGAUAUCUAUUAGUUUUCACUGUAUCUUACCAGAAUUACGUGCGUCCGAUGGUAAAAUCAAGUGGGAAGAGAUAUAGCUGCCUUAUUUAUGACAUGUGAAGGGUUGUUGUUUCAAUGUCUGUGGCAAUAGUUCAGAUUCAUGAUAAUAUGUAUAGAAGCUCGUAUGUUAUGAUAGGUGGUUUUUCCCGUUCUUUGAUAUAUGGAUUCGAGGAGUUAUUUAUUUAGUGGGUUUUCUUAACUUGAUUCUUGGAUUGGGUUGCACAAUUUGGACAUGAGAAGCUUUUGGUUCAAUAAACUCUCUGUCAUUUUUGGCCCUAGACCACCGGUCAGCUGGUUACUCUUGUGCCUUGUUAGCUUGCUCGCACUAAUUGCAGUUUUAGGAUCAUCUUCUUCUAAUGCCUUCGACUCUGUAACUCCUACACCCGUACCGGACAUUUAUUUAAACUAUAGAAGGCUAAAAGAGCAAGCAGCGGUUGAUUAUUUGGAGUUGAGGUCUCUCUCACUUGGAGCUAGUAGGCAAAGAGAGCUUGGCCUUUGUGGCAAAGAAAGAGAGAAUUACGUGCCUUGCUACAACGUUUCAGCAAAUUUGUUAGCUGGGUUUAAAGACGGGGAGGAGUUUGAUCGGCAUUGUGAAGUUCUGAGAGAUCGAAACCGGUGUUUGGUUCGCUCUCCCAAGGACUAUAAGAGCCCCCUGAGGUGGCCUGCUGGUAGGGAUGUGAUAUGGAGUGGAAAUGUGAAGAUAACCAAAGACCAAUUUCUUUCAUCUGGAAGCAUGACCAAAAGGUUGAUGUUACUUGAAGAAAAUCAAAUUGCCUUUCACUCUGAGGAUGGAUUGAUCUUUGAUGGUGUUAAAGAUUAUUCUCGCCAAAUUGCUGAGAUGAUAGGGUUAGGAAGUGACUCUGAUUUUCUUCAAGCUGGUGUGCGUACUGUACUCGAUAUUGGUUGUGGAUUUGGUAGCUUUGGAGCUCAUUUAGUCUCACUGAAGUUAAUGGCUGUUUGUAUUGCGGCUUACGAGGCAACUGGCAGUCAGGUCCAAUUGGCACUUGAGAGAGGUCUUCCAGCAAUAAUUGGAAGCUUCAUUUCAAGACAGCUUCCAUAUCCGUCCUUGUCAUUUGACAUGGUUCAUUGUGCUCAGUGUGGUAUUGUUUGGGACAAAAAAGAUGGGAUUUUACUCAUUGAAGUUGACCGGGUGCUCAAGCCUGGAGGUUACUUCGUGUUAACCUCACCUUCAGGCAAGCUACAUGGAACAGCAGUGGGUAAAAGGAAGAGAAAUGUGUUAACUCCAAUGGAAGAAAUGACCCAAGAAAUCUGUUGGAGUCUUCUAGCGCAGCAAGAUGAAACUUUCAUCUGGCAGAAAACUGUGGAUUCUGAUUGUUAUGCCUCUCGCAAGCAGAGUGCUAUACCACUUUGUAAAGAAGGGCAUGAUGUUCAGUCAUAUUAUCAGCCCCUUGUAUCGUGUAUAAGUGGGACCUCUAGCAAACGCUGGAUUCCAAUCCAGAAUAGAUCUGCUGGUUCGCAAUUGAGUGCAAGUGAGCUUGAAGUUCAUGGAGUUCUGCCCGAUAAUUUCUUUGAAGACUUACGGGUUUGGAGAUCAGCUCUGAAAAACUACUGGUCUCUGCUUACGCCCUUAAUUUUCUCAGACCAUCCAAAGAGGCCAGGCAAUGAGGACCCAUUGCCCCCAUUUAACAUGAUACGCAAUGUGAUGGACAUGAAUGCCCAUUAUGGGGGUUUAAAUGCUGCAUUUUUGGAGGAAAAAAAAUCGGUAUGGGUGAUGAAUGUUGUACCGAUUAGAGCUCGUAAUACACUUCCUCUUAUACUUGAUCAAGGCUUUACUGGGAUUUUGCAUGACUGGUGUGAACCUUUCCCAACAUACCCCAGGACAUAUGACAUGCUUCAUGCAAAUGGGCUCCUUUCACAUCUCAGUUCAGAGAGCUGCAGUGCAAUAGACUUGUUCUUGGAGAUGGACCGGAUGUUGCGACCUGAGGGAUGGGUUGUUCUUUCUGAUAACGUAGGAGCUAUAGAGAUGGCACGCAUGCUUGCUACACAAAUACGGUGGGAAGCAAGGGUGAUUGACCUUCAGAACGGCAGUGACCAACGGCUGCUUGUUUGCCAGAAACAAUUCAUCAAGAAAUGAUAGAUUCAGCAUCUAGAGGUCUCACCUCUGUAAACGUGUACACAUCUUUGCUCUGGGCUAUGAAAUGUUUUGAUAGCAAAUAUAUGUAAGAUGUGCUCCGAGACUGAUGGAUUCGACCUUGUCCACCACCGAUCAAGAUGUGGAGGCUGUACAUUAAAGACGUUUGCCACACAAAGUAGCUGCAAAUCA